rnacentral:rRNA from 1 species
UUUGGUUAAGUUAGAAAGGGCGCACGGUGGAUGCCUUGACACUAGGAGUCGAUGAAGGACGGGACUAACGCCGAUAUGCUUCGGGGAGCUGUAAGUAAGCUUUGAUCCGAAGAUUUCCGAAUGGGGAAACCCACCAUACGUAAUGGUAUGGUAUCCUUAUCUGAAUACAUAGGGUAAGGAAGACAGACCCAGGGAACUGAAACAUCUAAGUACCUGGAGGAAGAGAAAGCAAAUGCGAUUUCCUGAGUAGCGGCGAGCGAAACGGAACAUAGCCCAAACCAAGAGGCUUGCCUCUUGGGGUUGUAGGACAUUCUAUACGGAGUUACAAAGGAACGAGGUAGACGAAGCGACCUGGAAAGGUCCGUCGUAGAGGGUAACAACCCCGUAGUCGAAACUUCGUUCUCUCUUGAAUGUAUCCUGAGUACGGCGGAACACGUGAAAUUCCGUCGGAAUCUGGGAGGACCAUCUCCCAAGGCUAAAUACUCCCUAGUGAUCGAUAGUGAACCAGUACCGUGAGGGAAAGGUGAAAAGCACCCCGGAAGGGGAGUGAAAGAGAUCCUGAAACCGUGUGCCUACAAAUAGUCAGAGCCCGUUAACGGGUGAUGGCGUGCCUUUUGUAGAAUGAACCGGCGAGUUACGAUCCCGUGCGAGGUUAAGCUGAAGAGGCGGAGCCGCAGCGAAAGCGAGUCUGAAUAGGGCGUUUAGUACGUGGUCGUAGACCCGAAACCAGGUGAUCUACCCAUGUCCAGGGUGAAGUUCAGGUAACACUGAAUGGAGGCCCGAACCCACGCACGUUGAAAAGUGCGGGGAUGAGGUGUGGGUAGCGGAGAAAUUCCAAUCGAACCUGGAGAUAGCUGGUUCUCCCCGAAAUAGCUUUAGGGCUAGCCUUAAGUGUAAGAGUCUUGGAGGUAGAGCACUGAUUGGACUAGGGGUCCUCAUCGGAUUACCGAAUUCAGUCAAACUCCGAAUGCCAAUGACUUAUCCUUAGGAGUCAGACUGCGAGUGAUAAGAUCCGUAGUCAAAAGGGAAACAGCCCAGACCGCCAGCUAAGGUCCCAAAGUGUGUAUUAAGUGGAAAAGGAUGUGGAGUUGCUUAGACAACUAGGAUGUUGGCUUAGAAGCAGCCACCAUUUAAAGAGUGCGUAAUAGCUCACUAGUCGAGUGACUCUGCGCCGAAAAUGUACCGGGGCUAAAUACACCACCGAAGCUGCGGACUGAUACCAAUGGUAUCAGUGGUAGGGGAGCGUUCUAAGGACAGUGAAGUCAGACCGGAAGGACUGGUGGAGUGCUUAGAAGUGAGAAUGCCGGUAUGAGUAGCGAAAGACGGGUGAGAAUCCCGUCCACCGAAUGCCUAAGGUUUCCUGAGGAAGGCUCGUCCGCUCAGGGUUAGUCAGGACCUAAGCCGAGGCCGACAGGCGUAGGCGAUGGACAACAGGUUGAUAUUCCUGUACCACCUCUUUAUCGUUUGAGCAAUGGAGGGACGCAGAAGGAUAGAAGAAGCGUGCGAUUGGUUGUGCACGUCCAAGCAGUUAGGCUGAUAAGUAGGCAAAUCCGCUUAUCGUGAAGGCUGAGCUGUGAUGGGGAAGCUCCUUAUGGAGCGAAGUCUUUGAUUCCCCGCUGCCAAGAAAAGCUUCUAGCGAGAUAAAAGGUGCCUGUACCGCAAACCGACACAGGUAGGCGAGGAGAGAAUCCUAAGGUGUGCGAGAGAACUCUGGUUAAGGAACUCGGCAAAAUGACCCCGUAACUUCGGGAGAAGGGGUGCUUUCUUAACGGAAAGCCGCAGUGAAUAGGCCCAAGCGACUGUUUAGCAAAAACACAGCUCUCUGCGAAGCCGUAAGGCGAAGUAUAGGGGGUGACACCUGCCCGGUGCUGGAAGGUUAAGGAGAGGGGUUAGCGUAAGCGAAGCUCUGAACUGAAGCCCCAGUAAACGGCGGCCGUAACUAUAACGGUCCUAAGGUAGCGAAAUUCCUUGUCGGGUAAGUUCCGACCCGCACGAAAGGUGUAACGAUUUGGGCACUGUCUCAACCAGAGACUCGGUGAAAUUAUAGUACCUGUGAAGAUGCAGGUUACCCGCGACAGGACGGAAAGACCCCGUGGAGCUUUACUGUAGCCUGAUAUUGAAUUUUGGUACAGUUUGUACAGGAUAGGCGGGAGCCAUUGAAACCGGAGCGCUAGCUUCGGUGGAGGCGCUGGUGGGAUACCGCCCUGACUGUAUUGAAAUUCUAACCUACGGGUCUUAUCGACCCGGGAGACAGUGUCAGGUGGGCAGUUUGACUGGGGCGGUCGCCUCCUAAAGUGUAACGGAGGCGCCCAAAGGUUCCCUCAGAAUGGUUGGAAAUCAUUCGUAGAGUGCAAAGGCAUAAGGGAGCUUGACUGCGAGACCUACAAGUCGAGCAGGGACGAAAGUCGGGCUUAGUGAUCCGGUGGUUCCGCAUGGAAGGGCCAUCGCUCAACGGAUAAAAGCUACCCCGGGGAUAACAGGCUUAUCUCCCCCAAGAGUCCACAUCGACGGGGAGGUUUGGCACCUCGAUGUCGGCUCAUCGCAUCCUGGGGCUGUAGUCGGUCCCAAGGGUUGGGCUGUUCGCCCAUUAAAGCGGUACGCGAGCUGGGUUCAGAACGUCGUGAGACAGUUCGGUCCCUAUCCGUCGUGGGCGUAGGAAAUUUGAGAGGAGCUGUCCUUAGUACGAGAGGACCGGGAUGGACGCACCGCUGGUGUACCAGUUGUUCUGCCAAGGGCAUAGCUGGGUAGCUAUGUGCGGAAGGGAUAAGUGCUGAAAGCAUCUAAGCAUGAAGCCCCCCUCAAGAUGAGAUUUCCCAUAGCGUAAGCUAGUAAGAUCCCUGAAAGAUGAUCAGGUUGAUAGGUUCGAGGUGGAAGCAUGGUGACAUGUGGAGCUGACGAAUACUAAUAGAUCGAGGACUUAACCAUAUAA